rnacentral:rRNA from 1 species
UACGUAGGGGGCAAGCGUUGUCCGGAAUCAUUGGGCGUAAAGAGCGUGUAGGCGGUUCGGUAAGUCGGCUGUGAAAGUCCAGGACUCAACCCUGGGAUGCCGGUCGAUACUGCCGGACUAGAGUUCGGAAGAGGCGAGUGGAAUUCCCGGUGUAGCGGUGAAAUGCGCAGAUAUCGGGAGGAACACCUAUGGCGAAGGCAGCUCGCUGGGACGUUACUGACGCUGAGACGCGAAAGCGUGGGGAGCAAACAGG